rnacentral:rRNA from 1 species
UACGGGAGGAUCCGAGCGUUAUCCGGAUUUAUUGGGUUUAAAGGGUGCGCAGGCGGGGGAUUAAGUCGGCGGUGAAAUUUUGCAGCUCAACUGUAAAAGUGCCUUCGAAACUGGUUUCCUUGAGUGUAGAUGAAGUAGGCGGAAUUUGUGGUGUAGCGGUGAAAUGCAUAGAUAUCACGAGGAACUCCGAUUGCGCAGGCAGCUUACUAAACUACUACUGACGCUCAGGCACGAAGGCGUGGGGAUCAAACAGGAUUAGAUACCCCCGUAGUCCCUGA